CCUACGGGAGGCUGCAGUGGGGAAUAUUGCACAAUGGGCGCAAGCCUGAUGCAGCCAUGCCGCGUGUGUGAAGAAGGCCUUCGGGUUGUAAAGCACUUUCAGCGGGGAGGAAGGCGUUAAGGUUAAUAACCUUGGCGAUUGACGUUACCCGCAGAAGAAGCACCGGCUAACUCCGUGCCAGCAGCCGCGGUAAUACGGAGGGUGCAAGCGUUAAUCGGAAUUACUGGGCGUAAAGCGCACGCAGGCGGUCUGUCAAGUCGGAUGUGAAAUCCCCGGGCUCAACCUGGGAACUGCAUUCGAAACUGGCAGGCUAGAGUCUUGUAGAGGGGGGUAGAGUUCCAGGUGUAGCGGUGAAAUGCGUAGAGAUCUGGAGGAAUACCGGUGGCGAAGGCGGCCCCCUGGACAAAGACUGGCGCUCAGGUGCGAAAGCGUGGGGAGCAAACAGGAUUAGAUACCCCAGUAGUC
rnacentral:rRNA from 1 species